GACGAACGCUGGCGGCGUGCUUAACACAUGCAAGUCGAACGGAAAGGCCCUGCUUUUGUGGGGUGCUCGAGUGGCGAACGGGUGAGUAACACGUGAGUAACCUGCCCUUGACUUUGGGAUAACUUCAGGAAACUGGGGCUAAUACCGGAUAGGAGCUCCUGCUGCAUGGUGGGGGUUGGAAAGUUUCGGCGGUUGGGGAUGGACUCGCGGCUUAUCAGCUUGUUGGUGGGGUAGUGGCUUACCAAGGCUUUGACGGGUAGCCGGCCUGAGAGGGUGACCGGCACAAUGGGACCUAGGUUCCGGCCCAGCUUCUUACGGGAGCCAGAAGUGGGGAUUUUUGCCCAAGGGGCGAAGGCCUGAGCCGGCACGCCGGCGGGCGGAAUGAGGCCCUUGGGGUGGUAACCGGCUUCGCCUGGGACCGAGGCGGAGGUGCGGGAAAUGGGAAAGAAGCACCGGCUAACUACGUG
rnacentral:rRNA from 1 species